GGCCCGAAGACCCUGCUGCUGCGUGGCCAGCGGCCCACGGCCGUGCGGCCCUUCGAGGCUCUGCAGCUCCUCGCGCCUAAUGAGCCUGGCGCUUAAAAAUACCACCCUAGUUAAACCUCCCGGAACCUGUCUUCAGCAUUUCAAAAAAAAAAAAAAACGGGCGCCGUCAUCACUUUGAGCCACAUAAAUCACAGCCCUGACCUGCUGUGGAUUCAGCAGGCGACGAGCCGCUGAAAGGGGCGACGAAGUCCGCCCCUUUCGAAGACCAGCAACUUUCCAUUCUUUUUUCCCUGCGCAAGGCGCAGAUUGCAACGGGGAGACCCCCGAGCAGUCUGAGGAGCGAGUCGGACGUUGGAAAAACUGCCCGGGAAUCUCAUCUUUCCCAGCCCAGGCUAAGCGCAGGAUUCUUCAGAGCUAUAUCCUGUGACAAUCACAAGGGUUUUCUCCGCCCCACGGGUGACGGAGAACUCGUGACCGGCCCCUGAGCUCCAAGCCGAGCGUCUAGAGGGCGCGGAAAAAGAGGGGGCGGAGCUACAAGCCCAGAUCACCAGGCAGCCGGAGACGGGCAGCGCGUGCGCAGUCUCUCGCCACGGGACCUCCUUCCCGCCGCUGAGACUAGGAAGCGGGACGCCAAAUCUGUCCCUGCGCAGCCGCCGCCGGGCGCCGAGCGGGGUGGCCGCCCUGCCUGAGGCGCGCCUGCGCACGUCCCCACGCACGCUCCGGCGUACGGCGGCGGCCAGGGGUCGCGAGCCGGUGGAGGACCCGCGCGCGGAGGAGCCGGGGAGUCAGCGCUUCUUCCCUCCCUCCCCCUCUCCCCUCCCCGUUCCCUGCCCCCCUCCCCAAGAAUGUUCCGCUACGAGUCUUUGGAGGAUUGUCCUCUGGAUGAAGAUGAAGAUGCAUUUCAGGGACUGGGAGAAGAAGAUGAAGAGAUUGAUCAAUUCAAUGACGAUACAUUUGGGUCAGGCGCAGUUGAUGAUGAUUGGCAGGAAGCACAUGAGCGCCUGGCUGAAUUGGAAGAAAAGCUACCAGUGGCAGUUAAUGAACAAACAGGCAAUGGAGAGAGAGAUGAAAUGGACUUGUUGGGUGACCAUGAGGAGAAUCUGGCAGAAAGGCUCAGUAAGAUGGUGAUUGAAAAUGAACUAGAAGAUCCAGCUAUUAUGAGGGCAGUGCAGACCAGGCCAGUUUUACAAACCCAACCAGGAAGUCUGAAUUCCAGUAUCUGGGAUGGAUCUGAAGUUCUGAGGCGAAUCCGAGGACCACUGCUUGCUCAGGAAAUGCCUACAGUGUCUGUAUUAGAAUAUGCUUUGCCUCAGAGGCCCCCCCAGGGUCCAGAAGAUGAUCGGGACCUUUCUGAACGAGCAUUACCAAGGCGGUCAACUUCACCUAUCAUUGGCAGUCCUCCUGUUAGAGCUGUCCCCAUAGGCACCCCACCUAAACAGAUGGCUGUACCCAGCUUCACCCAACAGAUUCUGUGUCCGAAGCCUGUCCAUGUUCGGCCCCCAAUGCCACCUCGUUAUCCUGCUCCCUAUGGUGAGAGGAUGUCUCCAAACCAGCUCUGCAGUGUCCCGCUACAGCCUGGACGGAUGUCUCCCAGCCAGUUUGCACGGGUCCCUGGAUUUGUUGGUAGUCCACUUGCUGCCAUGAAUCCCAAGUUGCUACAAGGGCGAGUUGGGCAGAUGCUUCCCCCAGCACCAGGCUUCCGUGCCUUCUUUAGUGCUCCACCCUCUACUGCACCACCUCCACAGCAGCACCCUCCUGGCCCAGGACCCCACCUGCAAAACCUAAGAUCUCAGGCCCCGAUGUUUAGACCGGACACAACUCACCUUCAUCCACAGCACCGUCGACUCUUGCAUCAGAGACAGCAACAGAAUAGAAAUCAGCAUCGGAAUCUCAAUGGUGCGGGAGAUAGAGGAAGUCACCGGAGCAGUCAUCAAGAUCAUCUCCGAAAGGAUCCAUAUGCCAAUCUCAUGUUGCAGCGGGAAAAGGAUUGGGUCUCUAAAAUCCAGAUGAUGCAACUGCAAAGCACUGAUCCCUAUCUGGAUGAUUUUUAUUACCAGAAUUACUUUGAAAAACUGGAGAAACUGUCAGCUGCUGAAGAAAUACAAGGUGAUGGCCCUAAGAAGGAGCGCACCAAGCUUAUCACCCCUCAGGUGGCCAAACUGGAGCACGCCUAUAAGCCAGUGCAAUUUGAGGGCUCUUUGGGAAAGCUUACCGUUUCUAGUGUGAAUAAUCCCCGAAAAAUGAUUGAUGCUGUUGUGACAUCUCGGAGUGAGGAUGAUGAGACAAAAGAAAAACAAGUUCGCGACAAGAGGAGAAAAACCCUUGUUAUAAUUGAGAAAACCUACAGCUUACUCCUUGACGUGGAGGACUAUGAAAGACGUUAUCUCCUAAGUCUGGAAGAAGAGCGACCUGCCCUAAUGGAUGACAGAAAGCACAAAAUUUGUAGCAUGUAUGACAACUUAAGGGGGAAAUUGCCUGGACAAGAGAGGCCUAGUGAUGACCACUUUGUACAGAUCAUGUGUAUCCGAAAAGGGAAGAGAAUGGUUGCCCGUAUUCUUCCUUUCCUCUCCACAGAGCAAGCAGCUGACAUUCUCAUGACAACAGCCAGGAACCUCCCUUUCCUUAUCAAGAAGGAUGCACAAGAUGAGGUGCUGCCAUGCUUACUGAGUCCCUUCUCUCUCCUUCUCUAUCAUCUUCCAUCAGUGAGUAUCACCAGCCUUUUGCGACAGCUAAUGAACCUACCUCAAAGUGCAGCUACACCAGCACCCUCCAAUCCUCACCUCACUGCUGUGCUCCAGAACAAGGUGAUCUUGCCCUUUUAACUCCUUGAACUUUGUGAAGUGUCUUAAUUUGCGUUAUAGAUUAAAAUAAUGGCUGCUGUAUCUCUAGCAACUUGGGAAAAAGGCUUCUUUCAGUCAAGAGUUACAUUAAGCUCCUAGUAACAGGCUAGAAAUAACAGUGUUUUCAACAAAAUGGGAUUUUAUGUGUCUAGUGUGAAAUAAAUUUGAUUUAGUAGCUCGACAGAGUCAUCAGGGAUCCAGGCUUUUUCACUUUUUUUCCUCUGCCAUUCUUACCAGUGGCUUCCAUGUUCAUUAUUCCUCAUGGUCCAAGAUGGCUGUGGAAUUCAUGAUUCAGCUUUACGUCAAGAAGGACGGGUGGGUGUGGAGGGCAAAAAGAUGUGGACCAGCUGUCCAUCUUCCUUAUUGAGACCUUUUCCAGGAGUUCUAACCAGAAACUUCUACUUACUGUUAAUAGCCAGGACAUUGUCACAUGGCCACACCUAAGUGCAGGGAAGGCUGGAAAAUAUCUUUUAGUUUAUGCCAUUGUCAUGACACAUAAGAGUUCUGAUAAUGGGUAGGAAGGCAUAUUAGGCAAUUAGCAGUCUCUGUCAUAACACUAUGAAUAGUAGAAUCAUCCAUUUCAUAUUUUAUUUGCAUCAAGUUAAAGAUUCAGAGAUUCCUAGGGGAAACAUAAUAUGAAAUAAAGAAUAUGAAUUUUUAGUCCUUCCCUGCUACUGUCUAGCUUUGUGACCUUGGACAGAUGAUAUCACAUUGCUGAAUCAGUUUCCUGGUCUAUAAGAUGGAGGUGAUGAUGUAGACUUCAUAGAGUUGUCCUGGUACUUAAAUGAGAUAACAGUUGUGUUCGAUAUAAUGCCUGGUACAUAGUAGUUACUCAUUAAGGGCCAUUCUAUGUACAGUAGAGAUGAAAAAGUGGUCUCAAGGCCUCUUGCUCCCUUGCACCAGAAAACCUACCAAAGCAUGACACUAAAGGUCAGUAUAUCAGAGGAAGAAGAGGUGACAGUGCCUCUGGGGUUCUGGAGUGAUCCAGAAUGUGCCUUUCUGUUAUUUGGUCUCUUAGUUUUAAUUUUAGUAAAGGCAGUAGUAUUUUUUUUCUGAGAAUAACAUGAAAAGGGAUUUUUUUUUUUUUAAAUCAGGGUCUUCUCUGUCACCCAGGCCAGAGUGCAGUGGCAAGAUCUCGGCUCACUGCAACCUCUGCCUCCUGGGCUCAAGCCAUCCUCCCACCUCAGCCUCCCAAGUAGAUGGGACUACAGGCACAUGCCACCACGCACAACUAAUUUGUGUAUUUUUUGUAGAGGUGGGGUUUCGCCAUGUUGUCCAGGCUGGUCUCAAACUCCUGAGCUCAAGCUAUCAGCCUGCCUCGACCUCCCAAAGUGUUGGGAUUACAGGUGUGAGCUACUGCAACCGGCCAUGAAGGGAAAUUUUGUGGAAAAGUGAGUGAGUCUAGAAAGUUGGAAUGGAAUCCCAAAGUACUGCCAGCCUUCCUUUUAUGAUCCAUUUAUAGCUAUGAAUCAUAUAUUUAACCUAAACCUUCUUGUCCCUAUUUGUAUUUUCUUUUUUGAGACAGGAUCUCACUCUGUCACCCAGGCUUCAGUGCAGUGGCACAGUCACAGCUCAUUGCAGCCUCAACUUUCUGGACUCAAAGCGAUCCUCCCACAUCAGCCUCUUGAGUAGCAUGUGCCACCAUGCCUGAUUGACUUUUUUUUUUUUUGAGACAGAGCCUUGCUCUGUCACUCAUGCUGGAGUGCAAUGGCGAUAUCUUGUCUCACUGCAACCCCUGCCUCCCAGGUUCAAGCAGUUCUGCGUCAGCCCCCCAAGUAGCUGGGAUUACAGGCACCCGCCACCACGCCUGGCUAAUUUUUUGUAUUUUUUAGUAGAGACAGGGUUUCACCGUGUUAGCCAGGAUGAUGUCGAUCUCCUGACCUCUUGAUCCACCCGCCUUGGCCUCCCAAAGUGCUGGGAUUACAUGCAUGAGCCACCACGCCCAUCCCAUAUUUUAAUCCUAUGCCCCAAAGACUACAUUUCCUGAUUUUACUGUCCACUAAAUAAAACACAUUUUUAUAUGUUACUUUUUUUUUUUUUUUUUGGAGAUGGAGUUUCACUCGUGUUGCCCAGGCUGGAGCGCAAUGGUGCGAUCUUGGCUCACUGCAACCUCCAGCUCCCGGGUUCCAACAAUUCUCCUGACUCAGCCUCCCAAGUAGCUGGGAUUACAGGCAUAUGCCACCGUGCCUGGCUAAUUUUCUAUUUUUAGUAGAGAUGGAGUUUCACCAUUUUGAUCAGGCUGGUCUCAAACUCCUGACCUCAGGUCAUCCACCCACCUUGGCCUCCCAUAGUGCUGGGAUUACAGGCAUGAGCCACCACACCUGACCAUUUUUAUAUAUUUCAUACUCUAAAGCAUGUUGCUGAAUUUUAAUUAUAGAUAUGGUGUAUACAUCUGUUUACCCUUUCUUUUUAUUUUUUAGAUUUUUAUUAACAUUCUCUCUAAGACUUUGUAUUUCCAGAUAGAGAUGUGCUUUUUAAUGAAAAGUUUCUCUUUAUACCAUGUUUAUUUCAGUUGUGUUUAUUUGUAUAUUUUCCUACAGUUUACACCUUGUUUCUUAAUUCAAAAUAUCCUACUGUAAUGCUUUUUUCUUAUUUUUUCCUGAUUUUUAAUUUCUGUACCAAAAUUGGUCUUCAUUUACUUUCUUUUUUAGCCUAUUUCUGUUCUCAUAAAUAGGAGAAAAGUCAAAUUCUACAUUAUCCAUGGCAAGGAAAAACCAUCUUUUAACCUCAGCAUGGGGAACAGAGAGGCGUGUUGGACACCAUGACUUUCCGUUUCUGUUGGCUGCGCCUGGUCACUGCUAUGGCAGAAUAAAGCCUGGAGAGAGACAUAGCCUUUCAACUUAUGCUUGUCUGAUCUUUACCUGGUUUUACAGAAAAGCACAGUAGUGAGGUUAUUUUGAUUUAGAGCUGUUCCCCAUCUGAUGCCAGGAUCCCUUCAACAGUGGUGGAGGAGGUUUAGACGCAGUGUUGAGUUUGAUUCCCUCUGUCUUUUCUCGUAGUUUGGCCUGUCACUGCUCCUCAUCCUCCUGAGCCGUGGUGAAGACCUACAGAGUUCAGACCCUGCUACAGAAUCAACACAAAAUAAUCAGUGGACGGAGGUGAUGUUCAUGGCAACACGAGAACUUCUACGGAUUCCCCAAGCAGCCCUGGCCAAGCCAGUCUCUAUACCUACAAACCUAGUGUCCCUCUUUUCUCGCUAUGUUGACCGGCAGAAACUGAACUUGCUGGAGACAAAACUGCAGCUAGUUCAGGGGAUACGAUAAAAGAUCUCCAAAUGUGUCCUGUACCUCCUUUUGGCUGCCACCUGCACUGCUGCCAUCACCAAUGGAGUGUUUUUAAUGAGGGAGGGAAGGUAGCUUUUUCCCCAAAUCGAUUCCUGUUUACAGGGGUUGUCUCUCUAAAUGUCAGAUAUUUCCCCACUGCUCUAUGAAAUUUGGCUGGGUGAUACUUCUGCUGGUUUCUUUACCUUCUGUGUUACAGUUCUGCAUGUCCUACUUUUACUCAGUUCUGUUUUGCAUUUUCUUUGCCCUAGAGACACAAGUGUAAUCUCUCCCUUUAUCCCUCCACUACUCCACCUCAGAGUAGAUUGUAGCCUGCCAAAGGAUUCCUUCCCUCAUCCUAUUGAAGUUGUUUUUUCAUUGCCCCAUAUUAAUAUGACUAUAGAAGAGCCAAUUAAGUAGAAAUCAAGAUAUACACACACACAUAGAUACACACACACACACACACACACACACACCCCAUACAUGUAUUUAUGUGGUCUUCAGAGGGUCCUUAAAGAAUGAAUUUUAGAUUGAAAAAUAUUUAGUUGUCUCAUUACCUCUUCUAAACACAAACCAGCUGAUGUAUUUUAAUCUGUUUCUGUUCUAUCUUGUAAUUAAUUUGGUGGGUUCUACUUGUUUUAACAUAAAUAAAGAGUAUGCAGCACGUUUAAUAAAA